AUGGCCAAGAUCUCUGUUCCUGCCCUCACCCUCAUCAUGCUCUGCACUCUAGUGCUCUUCAGCAGUGAGGCUGCAGCUCUGCGCAGAGUUUCAAGAUGCUGCACAAGGUACUCCAACAGUAAAGUGCUCACAAAGGACAUCAAAGGAAUUUCAAUCCAAAAACGUAACGGAAAAUGCAAUAUCAACGCAGUCAUUGUUCACACUACAACAGGCAAACACAUCUGUGUGGAUCCUAACCAGAUGACCGACAUCACCGACAAGCUAAAGUAAGCAUCUGCCAUGGUCUCACAGUAACAGUAUUUCACAUUUUAGUUUUGGUCACGUUUAAAUUUUGGUUUGAUGACCACUUUAAGAAGUUAGUGUUGAAACCUGGGUUGUCUAAUGAAACUUAAUGAGAUAAAGGUAAGACUAAAUAGUUUUUUUACUUUGAUUUCUUCCAGGGCACAGCUGAAUGUGUGGACAC
rnacentral:lncRNA from 1 species